UACCCAAAGUCCAAACUCAUCGGUUACAACUGACUAAAUCACUAAUACACAUUACACUUAGUCACUUCCCAUUUUCCAUUUCCCAAACCUAAAUAAAGAAUUAGAUUUAGGGUUCUCAAGCCUACAUCAAUUGAAAAGUUCGCCUCUUCGGUUCUUCCUUCUUACUGUGCGACUGAUGCGACUCGUCGUCGCCGACUGCUGCGACUUCUUCUGAGUUCCUGUGAGUUCUGCGCCUUCUUCCUCAACUCAACAGUAACGCCUUCUUCCUCAGCUCGUCGCUCAUCUUUCAUCCUCAGAUUGGUGGAAAAUUAAUGCGCCUCGAUUUCCUAUUCUAUCCGAGCUAGCUCGUGAUGUGUUAGCCAUUCCAAUUUCAAGUGUUGCAUCGGAAUGUGCAUUUAGCACCGGUGGCCGCAUUCUUGAUUCAUUUAGGAGUUCAUUGACUCCUCGGUUGGUGCAAAGUCUUGUUUAUGUUCAAGAUUGGUUUAGAUGUGAGGGUACUCCUAUUAAUGUUGAAGAAGAUUUCGAGUUUCUUGAGCAAAUUGAACUUGAUAUGGCAACGAGCGGAAGAGAAACUUGCAUUGUUGAAAGAGAUAAUAGCAUUGUUGAUGCAUAGUUUGAACAAGUGGUUCAACUAUGCCUCGUGGUCCUAAAGCUAGAUCACCUAUUUGGGAAUAUUUUGAGCUAGUUAAAGUAAAUGAAGAAGCCCGCAAAGAAAAGUGCCUUCAUUGUGGCCGAGUUUAUAAUUGUCAUCCAAAGUAUUAUGGCACUUAUGGCUUAGUGAAGCAUAUUAAGAAGUGUCUUAUGCCUCAUCCAGUGAUUCGUAUUUAAGGCUUUAAGUAUCAUUUUCUAGACUUACUUUGUGGCUUGUGACUAGUUUGCCACUGUUUUGUUGUUUGGUGAUGGUAUUUCUAGACUUAUUUUAGACUUUGGUAGCUGCUAGAUUUGCCACUGUGUUAAACUGUUUUGCACUAGUUUGCCACUGCUGGACUGUGCGGUAUUUUGCUACUUAGGUGUUCUGUUUGCACUGAUGCCACUGGAGGCCUCCCUGCUCUCUGUGUGCUUGUUCUCUAUAGUCUAUUCUCGGUUUCAUUUAUAGUGUUGUUUCAAAUUAGAGUGUUAUUGUCAGCAAAACUUGUGUUAGACUGCCGUCUGCCACUGUCUUUCUCUGUUGCUGGGCUGGACGAACAACUAAAUGACAAUUUG